GGGUGCGAUCAUACCAGGACUAAUGCAACGGAUCCCAUCAGAAAUCUGCAGUGAAGCGUGCUUGGGUGAGAGUAGUACUAGGAUGGGUGACCUUCUGGAAAGUCCUCGUGUUGCACCCC
rfam:Gossypium arboreum cultivar AKA8401 contig_98328_1, whole genome shotgun sequence.